UACGAAGGGGGCGAGCGUUGUUCGGAUUUACUGGGCGUAAAGGGCGCGCAGGCGGCUAUCCAAGUCAGGCGUGAAAGCCCCGGGCUUAACCUGGGAGGUGCGUCUGGGACUGGGUGGCUAGAGUUCGGGAGAGGAGAGUGGAAUUCCAGGUGUAGCGGUGAAAUGCGUAGAUAUCUGGAGGAACACCGGUGGCGAAGGCGGCAUCCUGGACCGGCAUUGACGCUGAGGAGCGAAAGCCAGGGGAGCAAACGGG
rnacentral:rRNA from 1 species